GCCCAUAUAGUUUAGUGGUAGAACAUGACGUUGUGGUCGAACACUGUAAAUCCGUCAAGACUUCAGUUCAAUUCUGAAUGUGGGCA